GAUGAACGCUAGCUACAGGCUUAACACAUGCAAGUCGAGGGGAAACGACAUCGAAAGCUUGCUUUUGAUGGGCGUCGACCGGCGCACGGGUGAGUAACGCGUAUCCAACCUGCCCAUCACUUGGGAAUAACCUUGCGAAAGUAAGACUAAUACCCAAUGAUAUCCCACGAAGGCAUCGGAAUGGGAUUAAAGAUUUAUCGGUGAUGGAUGGGGAUGCGUCUGAUUAGCUUGUUGGCGGGGUAACGGCCCACCAAGGCAACGAUCAGUAGGGGUUCUGAGAGGAAGGUCCCCCACAUUGGAACUGAGACACGGUCCAAACUCCGACGGGAGGCAGCAGUGAGGAAGAUUGGUCAAUGGGCGAGAGCCUGAACCAGCCAAGUAGCGUGCAGGAAGACGGCCCUAUGGGUUGUAAACUGCUUUUAUAAGGGAAUAAAGUGGGUCACGUGUGACUUUUUGCAUGUACCUUAUGAAUAAGGACCGGCUAAUUCCGUG
rnacentral:rRNA from 1 species